rnacentral:rRNA from 1 species
GGCGAACGCUGGCGGCGUGCCUAAACAUGCAAGUCGAGCGGGGGUUGGCCGCGGGGCAACCCGCGGUUUCAGCUCUAGCGGCGAACGGGUGAGUAACACGUGGGUAACCUGCCCCGAAGACGGGGACAACCUCGGGAAACCGGGGCUAAUACCCGAUACCCUCCCCUGGGGGCAUCCCUGGGGGAGGAAAGGGUUGGGCGCAAGCCCUUCCGCUUCGGGAUGGGCCCGCGGCCUAUCAGCUAGUUGGUGGGGUAACGGCCCACCAAGGCGAUGACGGGUAGCUGGCCUGAGAGGGUGGUCAGCCACACUGGGACUGAGACACGGCCCAGACUCCUACGGGAGGCAGCAUG